GUGGGCAGCACAAGAAGGCGCUGGACUCUAGGUGCCUUGCCGCCCUCAGAAACUCCACAUUCCACAAAAUGGUCAGAUGCCAAUGCAAAUUAAUGACGUAAGUUUGUGUUGCUAAAAUGAUGACCCCAGGCAAAAUAAAUUUGCUUAAUCCAUGCUUUUUCUGGCAGCCUCGUUUACCAAGGCACCAGGUGACGCUGGGGUGUGCUGCUGGCCACUCACCUCACAUGCUGCCCAGGCUAAGCUUGGAUCCUCGGCUGCCCCCAGACCCCACGUGCUGUUGCCUGUACUGGGGCCGCCCCAUCACCUGCUUGGUGCACUGGUGCUCAGGGCCAGAGGCUGGUUCAACUUCUGUAUCACUGUGAUGUAUUUUCCUUCAGCUUUUUGAAAACAAACUUUUCAAGAAGGAACUAAGAUCACGCAGUGUUCCUAGCACUGGUUAAUAUUAGACUAACACCUGCCCCGUGGUACAUUUGAUUGAACUGUGUUGUGGGGGAGAUAACUGUCCUCCCUAAGUUCCCUGAGGACACAGCCAUGUCCUUCUUGUUCAGUUCCUGGUGGGUGCUGGGUGACAGCUCAUGGGAUGAGUGCCGUGCAGGCUGUGGUUGAUGGGCUGAUGAAGAUGUGGCCGUGCCGGGACUCACCUGUCCUCCCCUCCUUCUCCCUGUGCCAUGCAGAUGUGGUCAACUGGCUGAUGGGCAUGGCUGUGGGACCCCAUCAUUCCCCUGCCCUGCAUGACUCUGCUCUCCCAGCUCGACUGCUUACUUCAGACUUCCCUAAUGGAAGGAGUUGCCAGAUAGAGCAAGUAAAAUACAGUGUGCCAGACACAGGUUUAUUUCAACACUGGGAAGGCUCCAUUCCUACUUAAACCCAGCAGGGAACAGGGAGCGGUGUGCAGAGGAGGUGGCCUGCCCGCGAAGCCGGCCUUGGUGCUGGGACUGCAGGGAGAGGGCUGUGAGGAAGAGCACAGGCUUCAUGCACAUUGCACAGAGGAGGAGAUUCAUGGGGACAGCAGGCACUGGUUAGGCACAGCGGGAAGGUUAUCGAAGACAAAACACAUUUCUAUCCCAGUUCAAAUGACCUGCUAUGCCCACAGAGCUUGAUCCAGAAGUGCACAGAGACAUAAAGAAGGAUGGAUUGAGGUGGGCGUGAGCCUAUGAGUGGAAAGGCAGGUGACUCAUCAGCUCCCCGGGAAAACGUGAUGUGUACAAGCAAUUAAAGGUGCAUUUGCAGCAGGUGGAGAAGGCAACCCGAAUCUGCAGCUCGCAUUCAUUUCCAGGCAUGAGGGGCAUUGACAGGAGCCUCUAAACACCUUGAAGCUGUUCUUUUCAUUCUAGAAAACAAAUGGGGACAUGUAUUUCCCUGAAAAGGUAACUGACAACCUUUAGUUUCUGAUUCUUCCUUUGCCUACGUGUGACGCAGCAACGGUGAGUGUGGGAGUGGACAGGCGGAGGGUGUGGCUUCUCCACCUGAUGGCACAUCACUGUGAGGAGGGCCUGGGCCUGGCUCUCCUUGUGAGUGCUCAGGCAAAGCUGGAGUCAUUCUGGGGGGAGGGCAGGUGCAGGAUGGGCUUUGAGAAUCAUUCAGGCCUUCUUCCUCGGUACGUGUGCUUUUAAAAGUAUUAAUUUAUUUUUGAGACAGGGUCUCGCCCUAUAGCCCAGGCUGGAGGGCAGUGGCACAAUCGUGGCUCACUGCAGCCUUAAACUCCUGGGCUCAAGUGAUCCUCCCACCUCAGCCUCCCGAGUGGCUGGGACCACAGGCAUGCAACCACCACGCCCGGUUAAUUUUAAAUAUUUUUUUGGAGAGAUGGGACCUCACUGUGUUGCCCAGGCUCGAGCUUCUGGGCUGGCCUCAGCCUCCCAAAGUGCUGGGGUUCCACGUGUGGCUGCCACACCAGGACUUCCUCUGUGUUUUGACCUCUCAACUAGCUCUUUUUACAUUCUCAUUUUUACAUUUGACAAUUCAGGGACUUAUCUGGUCUAAUUUUAUUGAUUAGUAAUUACCAGGAUUAUAAAUUCAUAUCUUGAUUGAUAAUGAGCUGAGUAGGAAUGCAUGCAGUCUUAUGGUUGGGGUGGUUUGUGCAUUUCUGCUAAGAUUCAUGUUCUACCACAGCAGACAAGGGGAUGGCUGCUAGUGGAUGGAUAACCCAGAGCCGAGGUCUCUCCGCCGGCCCCUGCUGCUCAGCUAUUCACAAACAGUCCCCGAGGGUAGGCUUGGUCAGCCUGGUCAGUGCCCAGUGUAUGAUGCCACCAAAUACAGACCUCCUGCCUUAGGAAAACAGCCUGGUGAGGAGAAAGACCACUGGGGCUUAAAGGCUGCCUUGUAAGUGCAUAGGAAAGCCCCUAGACCAGUCUUCGAAGGCCCGGAGGGCUCCGAGAGACGGUCGUGGCUAAGCUGAGAUAUGACGAGAUGGUGUAGGCAGGCAGAUGAGAAACACUGGGUGAACGGGCCAUGUAAGCUGUGGGGGCAGCAGAAGAUGAGCAGUGGGUGGUGGGCGUGGAAGUUCCUAGCCAGGACCCCAGGGAGAGUGAAGGAGGCCCGCGUGUGAAGAGGGGCGUGAGGCUCUCAGGAAACCCACAGCAGAAGGCCCAAUGUCAGUCCAGACAGGAGGCUGGCCUUUUGCUACUAAAAUUGUGCCAUUUUUAUGUUUUGAACUAUCCUUCCCAUUGCGUCUGCUGUGGCCUGAAUGUGUCCACCAAGAUUCAUAUGUGGAGACGUGGUCAGCAGUGUGACGGUGCUGAGAGGAGGGAUGUGCAGGAGGACUAGCUCCUUAUUAGAAAGCGGCUCAAGGGGCGAGUCUGUUCCUUCCUCACCUCCUGCCAUGUGAGGACGUGGAGAAGGUGCUGUCUGAGAGGAGCCGCCCCCGACCAGGCACUGAACCUGCCGGUACCUUGAUCUCAGACCCGGCCUCCGGAGUGUGAGAAUCAACGUCUAUUCUUCACAAAUGACCCAGCCGCAGAUAUUUUGUUAUAAUCACGUAAACAGGCUGAGACCUAUUAAUCGCUGCACUGAGUUAAAUCAAUGCACCUGCCAGGCAGCUGUUACUAUUUCCAUUCACCCAGAGUUUGGAGGGAGGCCCAAGUCAACCGUCAGCUCUUCAUGGGUCCCUUGCUAUAGGCCCCAGUGCAAUUCCGAGUUCCCUGGGGACCCGGAGCUGCCAAGUCCCAUGCCAGCCCUCUCAGUCACACUGCAACCUGGCUGUGAAGGAAGUGAAAGUGUAUAUUUUAAAAAUGUGGGCAUUUUUAUAUUUGUAAGAUAACACCUUCAGUGUUGUCGGGGAGACAGACUGAAUCUUAGGAAACCAUUAGGCAGCAACACACAGAAACACAGUGCUGAAGCCCAGGGCUUGAGAUGAUGCUGUGGUCCUUCCAGUGGAGGCCUGUCCCCCGGGGUCACAAAGACACGGGGGCAUGCCCACUCGCCAGCCUCGCUCAGAGGCCACCUUCUCCAAGAAACUGUCUCUGCACCACGCCAGCCUCAAACACAUAUUUUCCGUCUUCCACAGCAACUACUAUCUUUGCCACUUCUUUGGUAUUAAUCAUUUGCUACCUUAUAUUAAUGACAAUUCUUUAUAUUACUUCUGUAUUUUCUGCUGAUUUAAUUCAUUACCAGCUCUUUUAAGCCAGGGACCCCGCCUCAUGUCUAGUCUACAUCCUGCACAUCGGAGGCUUUUGUCACUGCCCCAGGAACUAGAAGAGAGCGAGGCCUCCGGGCUUCGGAGGAGGUUGCACGCUAUGGCCGUGAGGAACCACAGGCUUCUUAGGAAGGGUGGGCCAGGCUGUAGCUACGCAAUCCUGUGCAAACUGCUAGACUGUUCUGAGGCUGUUUUCCAGUGUGUGAAAUGGGAACUGAGCUUGCCUGUCACGUGUGGCUGAGUGUGGUGAUCGGGUGAGGUAAGAGGCACUGCAGAGCUCUGGAGGCAGCGUUCUCACCAUGCACAGUGGACAUUGCUAUGGCUUUGCUUUGGUGGCCGGAGCCACGGCUUGGGGGAAAGGAGAGAGGCGUGGAAGAGGCUCAGAGGUGACCAAGCUCACACGGGAGCCAAGAUCACAUGGAAGUCUCCAGAACAAGACAAACAAGCUGGUGACCUGGCGUGGCCAGUAAUUACCAGCCCGAGUGCAUUCCUGAGCAGAGAAGGGCCGGCCAGGCCAUGUCUGGGGAGGUGCGUCUGGCCAUGGCUUUGGGAAGCAGAAGAGGCUGGAGCAGGCAG